rnacentral:rRNA from 1 species
AGAGUUUGAUCCUGGCUCAGAUUGAACGCUGGCGGUAUGCUUAACACAUGCAAGUCGAACGGUAGCAGGCCUUCGGGCGCUGACGAGUGGCGGACGGGUGAGUAACGCGUAGGAAUCUGCCUCAUAGUGGGGGACAACGUGGGGAAACUCACGCUAAUACCGCAUACGCCCUACGGGGGAAAGCGGGGGCUCGUAAGACCUCGCGCUAUGAGAUGAGCCUGCGUUAGAUUAGCUAGUUGGUAGGGUAAAGGCCUACCAAGGCGACGAUCUAUAGCUGGUCUGAGAGGACGAUCAGCCACACUGGGACUGAGACACGGCCCAGACUCCUACGGGAGGCAGCAGUGGGGAAUAUUGGACAAUGGGCGCAAGCCUGAUCCAGCAAUACCGCGUGUGUGAAGAAGGCCCUAGGGUUGUAAAGCACUUUCAAUGGGGAGGAAAACCUGCCGGCCAAUACCCGGUAGCUUGACAUUACCUAUAGAAGAAGCACCGGCUAACUCCGUGCCAGCAGCCGCGGUAAUACGGAGGGUGCGAGCGUUAAUCGGAAUUACUGGGCGUAAAGCGUGCGUAGGCGGUUCGUUAAGUCAGAUGUGAAAGCCCCGGGCUUAACCUGGGAACGGCAUUUGAAACUGGCGAGCUAGAGUUGAGUAGAGGGGAGUGGAAUUUCAGGUGUAGCAGUGAAAUGCGUAGAUAUCAAGAGGAACACCAACGGCGAAGGCAGCUUACUGGACAAGAUCUGACGCUCAGCUCGAAAGCGUGGGGAGCAAAAGGGAUUAGAUACCCCUGUAGUCCACGCUGUAAAC